AUACUUACCUGGACGGGGUCAAUGGGCGAUCAACAAGACCCAUGGCCUAGGCUAGUGACCUCCAUUGCACUUUGGAGGGGUGCUAGCCUAAGGUCGGCCCAAGUGGCCGAGCCUACGUCAUAAUUUGUGGUAGUGGGGGCCUGCGUUCGCGCGGCCCCUAC
rfam:Nicotiana sylvestris Nsyl_contig197070, whole genome shotgun sequence.